AAAAGGGAGAUUACCUUGGGUGGGCCUGAUGUAAUCAAGUGAAAGCUCUUAAAAGAGGGACUGAGGCCCUCCCUGAGGUCAGAGAGAGCCUCCUGCUGGCCUUGAAGAUGUGUCCUGCCCUGCACUGAGGGGGCCUGGGUGAGGGCCAGUGGCAGGGACUGUGGGCGGCCUCUGGAGCUGAGAGCAGCCACUGGCUGCCGGUUGGAAAACCGGAACCUCAGCCCUAGGGCCGCAAGAACUGAAGGCUGCCAACAACCGUGUGACCUUGGAAGAGGCCCAUGAGGAAAGGUAGCCCAGCCGACACCUGGACUGUGAGACCCUGGGUAGAGGACCUGCACCCAGGCUCCUGGCCCGCGAAACCUCUGAGGUGGUAAAUGUGUGUUGUUUUAAGCUGCUGAAUGUGUGGUAACAGAGACAGCAACAGGUACAGGCCCCCUCCUGGGUGUGGAUAAUUUGGAAUCAGUUAAAAGGGAGUCUUGAUGCGUGGAUUUGGGUCCCCAAACUGCCACCUCCUUUGGCUCUUUCCUGACCCUGAAGAGAACCUGACCCGGAUGUACCAAGACCUUGCCGGAAGCCUCUAGCCAGAGCAGCUGGCCCUGGACUCCCACUGGGACACUGACUGGGAGAUUCUUAGAGCACUGAACGAUUGGCCCUCCACCUUCCCAGCGGCUCUUUGGGAAAAGAUGCCCAUUGCAUGAAGCGGGGCCUCUCAAGGAGGAGCCCCAGGUCACCUGUUGCAACAGAAUCGCCUGGGAGCUCCAAGGCCCAGCCCCAACCCAUACCCAAUGAGUCUGAAUCUCCAGGAGGUGCCCAGACAUCUGCACAUCCAGCAGGUUCCCAGCUUCACAUUGUAAGGCUCCACCUCUUUCCACCCCCAGGAUCUUCAGGGGCACAGUAAAGUGUCCACCAUGAGCUGCCUUCACCCCAGCCCUUGGGACCAUGUGGGGACCGGGUGGGAACUCUGGGCUCCUGUGACACUCAGACCAAGCCCCUCACAUUGCAGGGGCCCUGCUCAGCAUCCUGGAGGGGAGCAACCCUUCUGGGACCAGGAAAACCCAAUUUUGUCCUCCAUUUCUGUUCCUCCUGGGGGCUGUGAACCUCAGGCAGGGUCCCUCGGUCUGGGUCCCGUAUGAACUCCUCUUCACCUUUCUGGCCAGGUUAUCAGAAUGGGCAGGGUUGUAAGUGGUUCAGAGUUUGAGCUCUGGGGUCAGGCGGAGCCGAGUUCAGCCUUGGCACAUUCCCCUGCACCAGCCCGUGCCCUGGGGUGAACCCCUGGGCUCCCUUGGCCUCUUCUCAGCUCCUCACUGUGUCCCACCCCUCUGCCAUCUCCUCUUCUCCCCUCCAGCUAUGGGACGAUCUGUCCCGAGUUCACUUUCUUCUUUUCUAUUUCCUACUCCCAUGUCCCCAAACACAUCCCGCCCUACAGUUCCCCACCUCCAGGCCCUGCACGGGCCCUUUGCUCUGUUUGGCAUGCUCCUGCCCUCCUGCAUCCUGGCAGUCUAAACUUUAAGUGAGACCUGCAUGGAGCAGGGAGACUGGCCAGAAGUCUUAAUUAACUUCAAAAUUUAAAGCUGGAAGAGAGGGAUAUGAUUUGGCUCUGUGUCCCCACCCAAAUCUGAUGUCGAAUUGUAAUUCCCAAUGUUGGGGGAGGGACCUGGUGGGAGGUGAUUGGAUCGUGGGGGCAGAUUCCCCCCCUUCGUGUUCUUGUGAUAGUGAGUGAGUUCUCAUGAGAUCUGUUUGCUUAAAAGUGUGUAGCAUCUCCCCCUUUGCUCUCUCUCUCCUGCUGCUAUGUGAAGAUGUGGUUGCUUCCCCUUCACCUACCACCAUGGUUAUGUUUCCUGAGGCCUCCCAGCCAUGCUUCCUGCAUAGCCUGUGGAACUGUGAGUCAAUUAAAUCUGUUUUCUUCAUAAAUUACCCAGCCUCAGGUAGUUCUUUAUGGUAGUGUGAGAACAGACUAACACAGAGAGUUUUAAAUUCUUUAGUUGUAGGCCUUUGCCCAGGAUGGAGUAGCAGGGACUGUAUUUCCUUCCCCUUCAAAACUUUCAGACAGCUGGAGAGGAUAUAUGGAACAUCAGUUUCAAGGUACUGGACAUCAGGCAAUGAAGGAAAGAAAUU
rnacentral:lncRNA from 1 species